rnacentral:rRNA from 1 species
CCGUGCCCAAGAGAUCGGGAUAACACCUGGAAACAGAUGCUAAUACCGGAUAACAACAGAUGAUGCCUAUCAACUGUUUAAAAGAUGGUUCUGCUAUCACUCUUGGAUGGACCUGCGGUGCAUUAGCUAGUUGGUAGGGUAACGGCCUACCAAGGCGAUGAUGCAUAGCCGAGUUGAGAGACUGAUCGGCCACAUUGGGACUGAGACACGGCCCAAACUCCUACGGGAGGCAGCCAGCU